rnacentral:rRNA from 1 species
UAAUUGAAGAGUUUGAUCAUGGCUCAGAUUGAACGCUGGCGGCAGGCCUAACACAUGCAAGUCGAGCGGUAACAGGGGAAGCUUGCUUCCCGCUGACGAGCGGCGGACGGGUGAGUAAUGUAUGGGGAUCUGCCCGAUAGAGGGGGAUAACUACUGGAAACGGUAGCUAAUACCGCAUAAUCUCUCAGGAGCAAAGCAGGGGAACUUCGGUCCUUGCACUAUCGGAUGAACCCAUAUGGGAUUAGCUAGU